UACGAAGGGGGCUAGCGUUGCUCGGAAUCACUGGGCGUAAAGCGCACGUAGGCGGCUUUUUAAGUCAGGGGUGAAAUCCUGGAGCUCAACUCCAGAACUGCCUUUGAUACUGAGAAGCUUGAGUCCGGGAGAGGUGAGUGGAAUUCCUAGUGUAGAGGUGAAAUUCGUAGAUAUUAGGAAGAACACCAGUGGCGAAGGCGGCUCACUGGCCCGGUACUGACGCUCAUGUGCGAAAGCGUGGGGAGCAAACAGG
rnacentral:rRNA from 1 species